rnacentral:rRNA from 1 species
AUUGAACGCUGGCGGCAUGCCUUACACAUGCAAGUCGAACGGCAGCACGGGAGCAAUCCUGGUGGCGAGUGGCGAACGGGUGAGUAAUGUAUCGGAACGUGCCUAGUAGUGGGGGACAACCAUUCGAAAGAGUGGCUAAUACCGCAUACGCACUCUGGUGGAAAGUGGGGGAUCGCAAGACCUCACGCUAUUAGAGCGGCCGAUAUCAGAUUAGGUAGUUGGUGGGGUAAAGGCCUACCAAGCCUGCGAUCUGUAGCUGGUCUGAGAGGACGACCAGCCACACUGGGACUGAGACACGGCCCAGACUCCUACGGGAGGCAGCAGUGGGGAAUUUUGGACAAUGGGCGCAAGCCUGAUCCAGCCAUGCCGCGUGUGGGAAGAAGGCCUUCGGGUUGUAAACCACUUUUGUCAGGGAAGAAACGGCUCUAGCUAAUAUCUGGGGCUAAUGACGGUACCUGAAGAAUAAGCACCGGCUAACUACGUGCCAGCCGCCGCGGUAA